rnacentral:tRNA from 1 species
GGGGAUUUAGCUCAGUGGUAGAGCGCUUGCCUAGCAAGCGCAAGGCCCUGGGUUACAUCCCCAGCUCCG